rnacentral:rRNA from 1 species
UACGUAGGGGGCAAGCGUUGUCCGGAAUCAUUGGGCGUAAAGAGCUUGUAGGCGGUUUGUCGCGUCUGCUGUGAAAUUUCGGGGCUCAACCCCGAGCUUGCAGUGGGUACGGGCAGACUAGAGUGUGGUAGGGGAGACUGGAAUUCCUGGUGUAGCGGUGAAAUGCGCAGAUAUCAGGAGGAACACCGAUGGCGAAGGCAGGUCUCUGGGCCAUAACUGACGCUGAGAAGCGAAAGCAUGGGGAGCAAACAGG